rnacentral:rRNA from 1 species
CUGAAGAAGGUCCCAAGGGUUUGGCUGUUCGCCAAUUAAAGAGUUACGCGAGCUGGGUUCAGAACGUCGUGAGACAGUUCGGUCCCUAUCCUUCGUGGGCGCAGGAAAUUUGAGGGGAGCUGCAUUUAGUACGAGAGGACCGGUGCGGACGAACCUCUGGUGUAUCGGUUGUAACGCCAGUUGCAUUGCCGAGUAGCUAAGUUCGGAAUGGAUAACCGCUGAAAGCAUCUAAGCGGGAAGCCAACCUCAAGAUAGAUUUCCCAUGAGAUACGUUGGAGACUACAACGUUGAUAGGUCACAGGUGUAAGCACAGAGAUGUGUUCAGCCGAGUGAUACUAAUAUAUCGAUCGGCUUGAUUUUAUCUUUUUU